rnacentral:rRNA from 1 species
AUCGACGGCAGUGUUUGGCACCUCGAUGUCGGCUCAUCUCAUCCUGGGGCUGGAGCAGGUCCCAAGGGUACGGCUGUUCGCCGUUUAAAGAGGUACGUGAGCUGGGUUUAGAACGUCGUGAGACAGUUCGGUCCCUAUCUGCCGUGGGCGCAGGAGAUUUGAGAAGAGUUGCUCCUAGUACGAGAGGACCGGAGUGAACGAACCUCUGGUGUUCGGGUUGUGUCGCCAGACGCAUUGCCCGGUAGCUAUGUUCGGACAGGAUAACCGCUGAAAGCAUCUAAGCGGGAAGCCCCCUUCAAGACGAGAUCUCCCUGAGGACUUGAUCCUCCUAAAGUGCCGUUGAAGACGACGACGUUGAUAGGCUGGGUGUGUAAGUACAGUGAUGUAUUGAGCUAACCAGUACUAAUUGCACGUGAG